rnacentral:rRNA from 1 species
GGCCAUACCAUGCUGAAUAUACCGGUUCUCGUUAGAUCACCGAAGUCAAGCAUCAUUGGGCGCGGUCAGUAAUUGGAUGGGUGACCACCUGGGAACC